rnacentral:lncRNA from 1 species
GAGUCUAGCUUUGUACCAGGCUGCAGUGCAGUAGUGCCAUCUCAGCUCACUGCAACCUCUGCCUCCCGGGUUCAAGCGAUUGUCCUGCCUCAGCCUCCCGAGUAGCUGGGAUUACAGCCACAUGCCACCACACCCAGCUAAUGUUUGUAUUUUUAGUAGAUACGGGGUUUCAUCAUGUUGCCCAGGAUGGUCUUAAUUUCCUGACCUCGUGAUCCGCCCAUCUCGGCCUCCCAAAAUGCUGGGAUUACAGGCAUGAGCCACCAGAACCGGACAUGCUUUCCUUAAAAGCUAAAUAUUUUAGGCUUGUGUGCCAUUAGGCUCUGUUACAACUACUUAAUUCUGCUUUUGUAAUUCUAUAGCACCCAUUGAUAAUACAUAAACAAAUGAGCAUGAAUGUGUCUCAGUAAAAAUUUGUUCACAUAAACAGGCAGUCCACCCAUGAAGCUAUAGCUUGCUGACCCCUUGUUUAAACAAUCAAUUGAAUUCAAACAGAAAUAAAAGGAUCUUAUAUAUUUAACCAUGUUGAUACCAUUUCCAGUGCUUUUCAUUCUUCUAUGUAGAUCCAAAUUUCCUUUUGAUAUUAUUUUACUUCUGCCUGAAACAUUUUCUUUAACAUUUUUUAUAGUGUUGUUUUACUGGUGAUGAUUUCUUUCAGGUUCUAAGUGCCUGAACAAAAUCUUUAUUUCACCUACAUCUUGAAAGAUAGUUUCUCUGAGUCUACAAUUCCCAGCUGACAAUGUUUAUCUUCCAGUACUUUAAAGAUGUUGCUUCAUUAUCUUCUAAUUUUCUUUGUUUCCAAUAAAAUGUUUGCUGGCAUUUUUUGUUCCUCUGUGCAAACUGUGUUUUUGUCAUUGGCCGCUUUGAGAAUUUUUCUUUAUCACUAGUUUUAAGCAAUUUUAUUUUAGUGUAUUUUGUGCACAAGACAAGGAUGCCCUCUCUCACCACUCCUGUUCAACAUAGUAUUGGAAGUCCUUGCCAAAACAGUUAGGCAAGAGAAAGAAAUAAAGGGUACCCAAAUAGGAAGAAAG